rnacentral:tRNA from 1 species
UUCCCCGAUGGUGUAACGGUAACAUCGCUGAUUUUCACUCAGCAGCCCCGGGUUCAACUCCCGGUCGAGGAAUC